rnacentral:rRNA from 1 species
UACGAAGGGGGCUAGCGUUGCUCGGAAUUACUGGGCGUAAAGCGCACGUAGGCGGCUUUCUAAGUCGGGGGUGAAAUCCUGGAGCUCAACUCCAGAACUGCCUUCGAUACUGGAGCUUGAGUCCGGGAGAGGUGAGUGGAACUGCGAGUGUAGAGGUGAAAUUCGUAGAUAUUCGCAAGAACACCAGUGGCGAAGGCGGCUCACUGGCCCGGUACUGACGCUGAGGUGCGAAAAGCGUGGGGGAGCAAACAGGG